rnacentral:rRNA from 1 species
UCGGACGGGUGAGUAACGCGUGAGAACCUACCUUCAGAAUGGGGACAACAGUUGGAAACGACUGCUAAUACCCAAUGUGCCGAAAGGUGAAAGAUUUAUCGUCUGAAGAUGGGCUCGCGUCUGAUUAGCUAGAUGGUGGGGUAAGAGCCUACCAUGGCAACGAUCAGUAGCUGGUCUGAGAGGAUGAGCAGCCACACUGGGACUGAGACACGGCCCAGACUCCUACGGGAGGCAGCAGUGGGGAAUUUUCCGCAAUGGGCGAAAGCCUGACGGAGCAAUACCGCGUGAGGGAGGAAGGUCCUUGGAUUGUAAACCUCUUUUAUCAGGGAAGAAGUUCUGACGGUACCUGAUGAAUAAGCAUCGGCUAACUCCGUGCCAGCAGCCGCGGUAAUACGGAGGAUGCAAGCGUUAUCCGGAAUUAUUGGGCGUAAAGCGUCCGUAGGUGGUUAUGCAAGUCUGCCGUUAAAGAAUGGAGCUUAACUCCAUAGGAGCGGUGGAAACUGCAAGACUAGAGUACAGUAGGGGUAGCAGGAAUUCCCAGUGUAGCGGUGAAAUGCGUAGAUAUUGGGAAGAACAUCGGUGGCGAAAGCGUGCUACUGGGCUGAAACUGACACUGAGGGACGAAAGCUAGGGUAGCGAAAGGGAUUAGAUACCCCCGGUAGUCA